CCACUGCUGCAGUGGAAAUGAACUAAAAUAGUUUUUAUGGAAAGCUGAAGAAUGAAAUAAUUUUGGAAAACUAUACUCUACCAAAACCUUGGAAGAAGUUGUGGGAAUUACGCCGAUGGCCCGAAAUCAAGGCAGAGGCGAACGUUCUGAAAAUUACAUAACUCCUGGGAGAGACCGUGCUUUUUCA